rnacentral:rRNA from 1 species
UACGGGGGGGGCAAGCGUUGUUCGGAAUUACUGGGCGUAAAGGGCUCGUAGGCGGCCAACUAAGUCAGACGUGAAAUCCCUCGGCUUAACCGGGGAACUGCGUCUGAUACUGGAUGGCUUGAAUCCGGGAGAGGGAUGCGGAAUUCCAGGUGUAGCGGUGAAAUGCGUAGAUAUCUGGAGGAACACCGGUGGCGAAGGCGGAUCUCUGGGCCAUUACUGACGCUGAGGAGCGAAAGCGUGGGGAGCGAACAGG